GGACCCGCACAAGCGGUGGAGCAUGUGGUUUAAUUCGAUGCAACGUGAAGAACCUUACCAGGCCUUGACAUCCAGAGAACAAAGCAGAGAUGCAUUGGUGCCUUCGGGAACUAUGAGACAGGUGUUGCAUGGCUGUCGUCAGCUCGUGUCGUGAGAUGUUGGGUUAAGUCCCGCAACGAGCGCAACCCUUAUCCUUACUUGCCAGCACUUCGGGUGGGAACUUUAAGGAGACUGCCGGUGACAAACCGGAGGAAGGUGGGGACGAUGUCAAGUCAUCAUGGCCCUUACGGCCUGGGCUACACACGUGCUACAAUGGACAGUACAGACGGUUGCCAAACCGCGAGGUGGAGCUAAUCUGAGAAAGCUGUUCGUAGUCCGGAUUGCACUCUGCAACUCGAGUGCAUGAAGUCGGAAUCGCUAGUAAUCGCGAAUCAGAAUGUCGCGGUGGAUACGUUCCCGGGUCUUGUACACACUGCCCGUCACACCAUGGGAGUGGGUUGCACCAGAAGUAGCUAGCUUAUUAGGGCGGUUACCACGCUGUGAUUCAUGACUGGGGCGAAGUCGUAACAAGGUAACC
rnacentral:rRNA from 1 species